GAUGAACGCUGGCGGCGUGCCUAAUACAUGCAAGUCGAGCGAACAGACGAGGAGCUUGCUCCUCUGACGUUAGCGGCGGACGGGUGAGUAACACGUGGAUAACCUACCUAUAAGACUGGGAUAACUUCGGGAAACCGGAGCUAAUACCGGAUAAUAUAUUGAACCGCAUGGUUCAAUAGUGAAAGACGGUUUUGCUGUCACUUAUAGAUGGAUCCGCGCCGCAUUAGCUAGUUGGUAAGGUAACGGCUUACCAAGGCAACGAUGCGUAGCCGACCUGAGAGGGUGAUCGGCCACACUGGAACUGAGACACGGUCCAGACUCCUACGGGAGGCAGCAGUAGGGAAUCUUCCGCAAAGGGCGAAAGCUUGACGGAGCAACGCCGCGUGAGUGAUGAAGGUCUUCGGAUCGUAAAACACUGUUAUUAGGGAAGAACAAAUGUGUAAGUAACUAUGCACGUCUUGACGGUACCUAAUCAGAAAGCCACGGCUAACUACGUG
rnacentral:rRNA from 1 species